CCUAACAGAGGGUUUAAUUAAACUUCUUGAACAUCGCCGUGGCCAGGAUGGCGCAUAUAUUGGAUGCAUGAAGUCAGGAGACGUGAUAUCAGAAGAGGGAAAGCCUUGGUAUGAACCUGAUUGGUGGAAAUUUGGGGAUGAAAAAUCGUAUUUCCGACAUGCAUCUGGUUCACUUGUUAUACUUUCAAAGAA